rnacentral:rRNA from 1 species
UUUUAAGUGAUAUAAAAACGUAACAAGGUUUCCGUAGGUGAACCUGCGGAAGGAUCAUUACAGUAUUCUUUUUGCCAGCGCUUAAUUGCGCGGCGAAAAAACCUUACACACAGUGUUUUUUGUUAUUACAAGAACUCUUGCUUUGGUCUGGACUAGAAAUAGUUUGGGCCAGAGGUUUACUAAACUAAACUUCAAUAUUUAUAUUGAAUUGUUAUUUAUUUUAAUUGUCAAUUUGUUGAUUAAAUUCAAAAAAUCUUCAAAACUUUCAACAACGGAUCUCUUGGUUCUCGCAUCGAUGAAGAACGCAGCGAAAUGCGAUAAGUAAUAUGAAUUGCAGAUUUUCGUGAAUCAUCGAAUCUUUGAACGCACAUUGCGCCCUUUGGUAUUCCAAAGGGCAUGCCUGUUUGAGCGUCAUUUCUCUCUCAAACCUUCGGGUUUGGUAUUGAGUGAUACUCUUAGUCGAACUAGGCGUUUGCUUGAAAUGUAUUGGCAUGAGUGGUACUGGAUAGUGCUAUAUGACUUUCAAUGUAUUAGGUUUAUCCAACUCGUUGAAUAGUUUAAUGGUAUAUUUCUCGGUAUUCUAGGCUCGGCCUUACAAUAUAACAAACAAGUUUGACCUCAAAUCAGGUAGGACUACCCGCUGAACUUAAGCAUAUCA